rnacentral:rRNA from 1 species
AUACGUAGGGGACGAGCGUUGUCCGGAAUUACUGGGCGUAAAGGGCGCGCAGGCGGUAUAUCAAGUCAGCUGUCAAAGACUGGGGCUCAACCCUGGUAUGCGGUUGAAACUGAUAUGCUGGAGUGCUGUAGAGGCAAGUGGAAUUCGCAGUGUAGCGGUGAAAUGCGUAGAUAUUGGGAAGAACACCGGUGGCGAAGGCGACUUGCUGGGCAGCAACUGACGCUGAGGCGCGAAAGCCAGGGGAGCAAACGGGAUUAGAUACCCCGGUAGUCCUGGCCGUAAACGAUGAAUGCUAGGUGUGUGUGUAGAGAUACAUGCGUGCCGGAGUUAACGCGAUAAGCAUUCCGCCUGGGGAGUACGGUCGCAAGAUUGAAACUCAAAGGAAUCGUCGGGG